GACAGAGGGGGCAAGCGGUUGCUCGGAAUCACUGGGCGUAAAGGGCGCGUAGGCGGGAUGGCAAGUCAGUCGUGAAAUCUCUCGGCUCAACCGAGAAACGUCGGCUGAUACUGCCGUUCUUGAGGGAUGCAGAGGAGACUGGAAUUCCCGGUGUAGCGGUGAAAUGUGUAGAGAUCGGGAGGAACACCGGUGGCGAAGGCGGGUCUCUGGGCCAUCUACUGACGCUGAGAGCGAAAAGCUGGGGAGGCAGAACGG
rnacentral:rRNA from 1 species